UUGGGGUAAGCAGGUUCACAUGUGCUGAAGGAUUCCUGAAGUUAUCCGCUGCAAUCCUAUUUCUUGUUUAUGUCUUCGAAAGCAUCGUCUACCAGGGUGGUGGUUCCCAUCUUUAAGAAGGGGGACCGAAGAAUGUGCUCCAACUGUAGAGGGAUCACACUCCUCAGUCUCCCUGGGAAAGUCUAUGCCAGGGUGCUGGAAGGGAGAGUCCAUCUGUGAGUCAAACCUCAGCUACAGCAGGAACAAUGUGGUUUUUGUCCUGGUUGUGGAACACUGGACCAGCUCUUUAUCCUCUCAAGGAUGCAUGAGAGUUUACCCAACUAGUCUACAUGUGUUUUGUGGACUUGGAGAAGAUAGUGUGGUUCUGUUGGCUUCAUCGGGUGAUGGGCUCCAG